CGGAGGGUGCAAGCGUUAUCCGGAUUCACUGGGUUUAAAGGGAGCGCAGGCGGAUUUGUAAGUCAGUGGUGAAAGGCUUAAGCUUAACUUGGGAACUGCCAUUGAUACUAUAAAGUCUUGAAUGUUGUUGAGGUUUGCGGAAUGGGUCAUGUAGCGGUGAAAUGCAUAGAUAUGACCCGGAACACCUAUUGCGAAGGCAGCAGGCUAAACAAAUAUUGACGCUGAGGCUCGAAAGCGUGGGGGAUCAAAACAGGAUU
rnacentral:rRNA from 1 species